GCGCAAUGGGCGGAAGCCUGACGCAGCGACGCCGCGUGGGGGAUGACGGCCUUCGGGUUGUAGACCUCUUUCGACUCCGACGAAGCGAGAGUGACGGUAGGAGUAGAAGAAGCACCGGCCAACUACGUGCCAGCAGCCGCGGUAAUACGUAGGGUGCGAGCGUUGUCCGGAAUUAUUGGGCGUAAAGAGCUCGUAGGCGGUGUGUCACGUCGAUCGUGAAAACUUGGGGCUUAACCCUGAGCGUGCGGUCGAUACGGGCAUCACUUGAGUUCGGCAGGGGAGACUGGAAUUCCUGGUGUAGCGGUGAAAUGCGCAGAUAUCAGGAGGAACACCGGUGGCGAAGGCGGGUCUCUGGGCCGAUACUGACGCUGAGGAGCGAAAGCGUGGGGAGCGAACAAGAUUAGAUACCCUGGUAGUCCACGCCGUAAACGGUGGGCGCUAGGUGUGGGGGCCAUUCCACGGUCUCUGUGCCGCAGCUAACGCAUUAAGCGCCCCGCCUGGGGAGUACGGCCGCAAGGCU
rnacentral:rRNA from 1 species